rnacentral:lncRNA from 1 species
AUGUCCUGCCGGCGGGGCCACUCCGAUGGACCUGUGAUGGCCGAUGAGCCCCGGGCGGGGUACAGUAGGUUCCCCCACUCGGAGCCCUCUGUGGCUCCAGCUUCACGACCCUCGUCCCCGUCUUCUUUUCUGCUCUCCCAUCCCAGAAACGUGAAUAGGACUCCGUCGUUAUCCCGGCUUCAUAGACGGGGAGCUGGGAACUCGGGGCCCAUGGGACACACAGCCAAACUCAGUCAGAACACGAGGCCGGGCAGCCACACCUGGCGGAAAUGUGGUCUGCUUCUCACUGGCUGGAUGUGA